AAUAUCUAUCAGUGGGCCUGUGGGUGGGUAUUUUAUACAGAUGAUGUUGCUUUGUUUUUCUCAUUUUCAGAAUUGCUUGCAAUUGCAUCUCAAAAAAGGAAAAAAAAAAUCCCCAUAGGAAAAAAGGUUGGAAAACCUAUUUUUUGAUUAAGGCUGUUACUUUUAUGAAAUUAUCCUUGGCAACUUAGGUAGCUUUGCAAAGGCAGGUGGAUACCAUUCUGAAUAAGUAUGAGCAAGUGUGUCUGCGCACCUAGGUUUUUCUCACCACCAUUUCUCAUGUGUAUGGAGUUAUGGUUGCAUCAAUUGUGACAGUUCCUUCUUUAAUGCGUCAGUAGUCUUUUGUGUGCACCUUUUAUGGUUGGGUUUUGGGUUUUGGGCUUUGGGCUUUUGCUUUCUCAGUACAUUACUUAUUGUAAGGGGAAACAUAAUUAACAGGAGGCCGACUGCUCUACAAG
rnacentral:misc_RNA from 1 species